AUUCAGCUGACGAGUCCUAAAUAGGACGAAACGACCGUCCUGGAU
rnacentral:hammerhead_ribozyme from 1 species